GCCAGGUGAGAUGAUGUGAGCCUGUAGUCUCAGCUACUUGGGAGGCUGAAGCAGGAGGAUUGCUUGAGGCCCGUCCUGGGCUGUAGUGCACUAUGCAGAUCGGGUGUCCACACUAAGUUCAGCAUCAAUAUAGUGACCUCCCAAGAGUGGGGGACCACCAGGUUGCCUAAGAGGGGGUGAACCAGCCCAGGGUGGAAAUGGAGGAGAUCAAAACUCCCAUGCUGAUCAGUAGUGGGAUCACACCUGUGAAUAGCCACUGCACUCCCGCCUGGGCAACAUAGAAAGACCCCGUCUCG
ensembl:misc_RNA Metazoa_SRP Metazoan signal recognition particle RNA